rnacentral:pre_miRNA from 1 species
GUUGGGUUAGCUGGAAACAAACUCCAAAGCUUGUUGGGUUAGCUGGAAACAAACUCCAAACUAACCCAACAAGCUUUGGAGUUUGUUUCCAGCUAACCCAACA